AUUGAACGCUGGCGGCAUGCCUUACACAUGCAAGUCGAACGGCAGCACGGGAGCAAUCCUGGUGGCGAGUGGCGAACGGGUGAGUAAUAUAUCGGAACGUGCCCAGUCGUGGGGGAUAACGUAGCGAAAGCUACGCUAAUACCGCAUACGAUCUAUGGAUGAAAGCGGGGGAUCGCAAGACCUCGCGCGAUUGGAGCGGCCGAUAUCAGAUUAGGUAGUUGGUGAGGUAAAGGCUCACCAGGCCGACGAUCUGUAGCUGGUCUGAGAGGACGACCAGCCACACUGGGACUGAGACACGGCCCAGACUCCUACGGGAGGCAGCAGUGGGGAAUUUUUGGACAAUGGGCGCAAGCCUGAUCCAGCAAUGCCGCGUGCAGGAUGAAGGCC
rnacentral:rRNA from 1 species